ACACAUAGCCAUACCACCCUGAGAACGCCCGAUCUUGGAAGCUAAGCAGGGUUGGCCCCGGUCAGUACUUGGAUGGGAGACCACCUGGGAACACUGGUGCUGUAAUCA
rnacentral:rRNA from 1 species